UACGGAGGGUGCAAGCGUUAUCCGGAUUCAUUGGGCGUAAAGGGUGCGUAGGCGGCGCGGUAAGUCGGGUGUGAAAUCUUGGAGCUUAACUCCGAAACUGCAUUCGAUACUGCCGUGCUUGAGGACUGGAGAGGAGACUGGAAUUUACGGUGUAGCGGUGAAAUGCGUAGAUAUCGUAAGGAAGACCAGUGGCGAAGGCGGGGUCUCUGGACAGUUCCUGACGCUGAGGCACGAAGGCCAGGGGAGCAAACGGG
rnacentral:rRNA from 1 species